rnacentral:rRNA from 1 species
AGAAUCAACGCUGGCGGCGUGCCUAACACAUGCAAGUCGAACGAGAAAGUGGAGCAAUCCAUGAGUAAAGUGGCGCACGGGUGAGUAACACGUGACUAACCUACCCUUGAGUGGGGGAUAACCUCGGGAAACCGGGGCUAAUACCGCAUAAUAUCGAGAGAUCAAAGGAGCAAUUCGCUUAAGGAGGGGGUCGCGGCUGAUUAGCUAGUUGGUAGGGUAAUGGCCUACCAAGGCUAUGAUCAGUA